UACAGAGGGGGCAAGCGUUGUUCGGAAUUACUGGGCGUAAAGGGCGCGUAGGCGGCCGCCUAAGUCAGACGUGAAAUCCCUCGGCUCAACCGGGGAACUGCGUCUGAUACUGGGUGGCUUGAAUCCGGGAGAGGGAUGCGGAAUUCCAGGUGUAGCGGUGAAAUGCGUAGAUAUCUGGAGGAACACCGGUGGCGAAGGCGGCAUCCUGGACCGGCACUGACGUUCAGGCACGAAAGCGUGGGGAGCAAACAGG
rnacentral:rRNA from 1 species